rnacentral:rRNA from 1 species
CCUACGGGUGGCAGCAGUGGGGAAUAUUGCACAAUGGGGGAAAGCCUGAUGCAGCGACGUCGCGUGAAGGAAGAAGUCCUUCGGUAUGUAAACUUCCAUUUGCAGGGAAGAAAAUGACGGUACGUGUCUAAGAAGCCCCGGCUAACUACGUGCCAGCAGCCGUGGUAAUACGGAGGGGGCAAGCGUUAUCCGGAUUUACUGGGUGUAAAGGGAGCGUAGGCGGUUUAGCAAGUCAGAAGUGAAAGCCCGGGGCUCAACUUCGGGACUGCUUUUGAAACUGUUGAACUAGAUUGCAGGAGAGGUAAGUGGAAUUCCUGGUGUAGCGGUGAAAUGCGUAGAUAUUAGGAGGAACACCAGUGGCGAAGGCGGCUUACUGGACUGUAAAUGACGCUGAGGCUCGAAAGCGUGGGGAGCAAACAGGAUUAGAUACCCCAGUAGUC